rnacentral:rRNA from 1 species
UACGGGGGGGGGGCAAGCGUUGUUCGGAAUUACUGGGCGUAAAGGGCUCGUAGGCGGCCAACUAAGUCGGAUGUGAAAUCCCCAGGCUUAACCUGGGAACUGCAUCCGAUACUGGAUGGCUUGAAUCCGGGAGAGGGAUGCGGAAUUCCAGGUGUAGCGGUGAAAUGCGUAGAUAUUGCCAGGAACACCAAUGGCGAAGGCAGCUGCUGGGCCUUUCUGACUGCUGAGGCACGAAAGCGUGGGGAGCGAACAGG